rnacentral:rRNA from 1 species
AGAUUAAGUUAUUAAGGGCGCACGGUGGAUGCCUUGGCACUAGAAGCCGAUGAAGGACGUUACUAACGACGAUAUGCUUUGGGUAGCUGUAAGUAAGCGUUGAUCCAGAGAUUUCCGAAUGGGGGAACCCAGCAUGAGUUAUGUCAUGUUAUCGACAUGUGAAUUUAUAGCAUGUCAGAAGGCAGACCCGGAGAACUGAAACAUCUUAGUACCCGGAGGAAGAGAAAGAAAAAUCGAUUCCCUGAGUAGCGGCGAGCGAAACGGGAAGAGCCCAAACCAACAAGCUUGCUUGUUGGGGUUGUAGGACACUCUAUACGGAGUUACAAAAGAACAUGUUAGACGAAUCAUCUGGAAAGAUGAAUCAAAGAAGGUAAUAAUCCUGUAG